UCGAAAUUGAACAUGCUGUGUGCGUUCGGAAUCAUCAGGUUCUCUCCCCGGGUAGCUUUUGCCAGCCCCUUGUUUGGCGGACCAUGCCACGGGCCGGUUGCGGGGAGAAGGGCCCCAAGUGCCGGAACGCGCCGGCGCCGUCUUGCGGCAAAUCUGCCCCUAGAUGCCGGGCAGAUGGCCACAAAGCGGGACGCCGAAAUGUCUCGUGCCUGACAUUUCGGCGGGCAAUUUGGUCAGGCGUCGCUGCCUU
rnacentral:misc_RNA from 1 species